UACGGAGGGAGCUAGCGUUAUUCGGAAUUACUGGGCGUAAAGCGUACGUAGGCGGCUUUGUAAGUUAGAGGUGAAAGCCUGGAGCUCAACUCCAGAACUGCCUUUAAAACUGCAUCGCUUGAAUCCAGGAGAGGUGAGUGGAAUUCCGAGUGUAGAGGUGAAAUUCGUAGAUAUUCGGAAGAACACCAGUGGCGAAGGCGACUUACUGGACACAUAUUGACGCUGAGGUGCGAAAGCGUGGGGAGCAAACAGG
rnacentral:rRNA from 1 species